rnacentral:rRNA from 1 species
ACGAACGCUGGCGGCGUGCUUAACACAUGCCAGUCGCACGGAAAGGCCCUGCUUUUGUGGGGUGCUCGAGUGGCGAACGGGUGAGUAACACGUGAGUAACCUGCCCUUGACUUUGGGAUAACUUCAGGAAACUGGGGCUAAUACCGGAUAGGAGCUCCUGCUGCAUGGUGGGGGUUGGAAAGUUUCGGCGGUGGGGGAUGGACUCGCGGCUUAUCAGCUUGUUGGUGGGGUAGUGGCUUACCAAGGCUUUGACGGGUAGCCGGCCUGAGAGGGUGACCGGCCACAUUGGGACUGAGAUACGGCCCAGACUCCUACGGGAGGCAGCAGUGGGGAAUAUUGCACAAUGGGCGGAAGCCUGAUGCAGCAACGCCGCGUGCGGGAUGACGGCCUUCGGGUUGUAAACCGCUUUCGCCUGUGACGAAGCGUGAGUGACGGUAAUGGGUAAAGAAGCACCGGCUAACUACGUG